rnacentral:rRNA from 1 species
UACGGGGGGAGCAAGCGUUGUUCGGAUUUACUGGGCGUAAAGGGCGCGUAGGCGGCGCAACAAGUCACUUGUGAAAUCUCCGGGCUUAACCCGGAGCGGUCAAGUGAUACUGUCGUGCUAGAGUGCAGAAGGGGCAACUGGAAUUCUCGGUGUAGCGGUGAAAUGCGUAGAUAUCGAGAGGAACACCUGCGGCGAAGGCGGGUUGCUGGGCUGACACUGACGCUGACAGCGCGAAAGCUAGGGGAGCGAACGGG